AGAAUCAACGCUGGCGGCGUGCCUAACACAUGCAAGUCGCACGAGAAAGGGUAGCAAUACCUGAGUAAAGUGGCGACCGGGUGAGUAACACGUGACUAACCUACCUUCGAGUGGGGGAUAACCUCGGGAAACCGAGGCUAAUACCGCAUAACAUCGCAAGAUCAAAGCAGCAAUGCGCUGGAAGAGGGGGUCGCGGCUGAUUAGCUAGUUGGCGGGUAACGCCCACCAAGGCGAAGAUCGGUA
rnacentral:rRNA from 1 species